rnacentral:rRNA from 1 species
ACCGACGGGAGCUUGCUCCCUUAGGUCAGCGGCGGACGGGUGAGUAACACGUGGGUAACCUGCCUGUAAGACUGGGAUAACUCCGGGAAACCGGGGCUAAUACCGGAUGCUUGAUUGAACCGCAUGGUUCAAUCAUAAAAGGUGGCUUUUAGCUACCACUUGCAGAUGGACCCGCGGCGCAUUAGCUAGUUGGUGAGGUAACGGCUCACCAAGGCGACGAUGCGUAGCCGACCUGAGAGGGUGAUCGGCCACACUGGGACUGAGACACGGCCCAGACUCCUACGGGAGGCAGCAGUAGGGAAUCUUCCGCAAUGGACGAAAGUCUGACGGAGCAACGCCGCGUGAGUGAUGAAGGUUUUCGGAUCGUAAAACUCUGUUGUUAGGGAAGAACAAGUACCGUUCGAAUAGGUCGGUACCUUGACGGGUACCUAACCAGAAAGCCACGGCUAACUACGUGCCAGCAGCCGCGGUAAUACGUAGGUGGCAAGCGUUGUCCGGAAUUAUUGGGCGUAAAGCGCGCGCAGGCGGUUUCUUAAGUCUGAUGUGAAAGCCCCCGGCUCAACCGGGGAGGGUCAUUGGAAACUGGGGAACUUGAGUGCAGAAGAGGAGAGUGGAAUUCCACGUGUAGCGGUGAAAUGCGUAGAGAUGUGGAGGAACACCAGUGGCGAAGGCGGCUCUCUGGUCUG